AAUCCUACGGGAGGCAGCAGUGGGGGAUAUUGGACAAUGGGGGAAACCCUGAUCCAGCGAUGCCGCGUGAGGGAAGAAGGUUUUCGGAUUGUAAACCUCUGUGGAGGGGGACGAUAAUGACGGUACCCCUUUAGGAAGCCACGGCUAACUACGUGCCAGCAGCCGCGGUAAUACGUAGGGGGCAGGCGUUAUCCGGAUUUACUGGGUGUAAAGGGAGCGUAGGCGGCGAUGCAAGUCAGAAGUGAAAGCCCGGGGCUCAACUCCGGGACUGCUUUUGAAACUGUAUGGCUAGAUUGCAGGAGAGC
rnacentral:rRNA from 1 species